rnacentral:rRNA from 1 species
UACGUAGGGUGCGAGCGUUGUCCGGAAUUAUUGGGCGUAAAGGGCGCGUAGGCGGUUUGUCGCGUCGGGAGUGAAAUCCACUGGCUUAACUGGUGGCUUGCUUUCGAUACGGGCAGACUGGAGGUAUGCAGGGGAGAACGGAAUUCCUGGUGUAGCGGUGAAAUGCGCAGAUAUCAGGAGGAACACCGGUGGCGAAGGCGGUUCUCUGGGCAUGUCCUGACGCUGAGGAGCGAAAGUGUGGGGAGCGAACAGG